AGAGACUUAGGAUAAUCUUAAACCAAGGACCUUCAAAGCCCUAAACAGGGGGCAAAAUCCCCUAGUCUCUG
rnacentral:tRNA from 1 species